CCUAAAGUAACAUUAAACAUUUAUGUGUGUACAGCUUUAACGGAGUAAGGACAAAAUGUAUUGUUAUUUUGUCAUAGCCGUUCUAUUAGUCUGAUGAUAUUAACUGAUGAAUACAAAUACUAAAUUCAAUUCGCUGUCAAAAUGACUUUGACGUUUAUUUUCGCGGUAGUUAAAAGAUGGUUUCUUUCACAUAAAUAUAUGGAAAUUUGUUGACGUUUGUACUUUUUGGUAAAAAAUUUAGUAUGUGGCUAUAAUUAAUUACAUUUAAUUCACUAUAGAAGGCGUCAAACUGAUGAAGAAUGAUGGCCACAAAUUUAACCACCGAAGAUGUAGUCGUGCAGUUGACUAGUCCACAAAUUAUUACCACAUGUCCGGUGGGCGAUACAGUAGUCCGUUCUGGUGUGACGGGUGUGACAGCGGGCUCGGGGGGGUCCGGG